GUCCCCAGGGGACGGGAGGAGGCAGGUGCAGACAGGAGGGCUCGGGGCUGUACCCAACGGCAGGCAGUGCCUCCCGGAACUUGGGCCACUUGACUGCUACCCAGAACCCUGCGCAGAGGGACCCGGGAGAGCUCUGCCCAGUGCAGGAUGGGGGCGCGGCCUUCCAUCCCCUUGGACAAACGGCAGCAGCAGCAGCUGAGGGGUCAGGUGGACAGCAUGUUGAGGGCCUUCCUGCCGUGUUACCGCAGGCAGCUGGCGGCAGCCGUCCUGAGGCAGAUCUCCAGGGAGCUGGGACCGCAGGAGCCAGCAGGAUGCCAGCUGUCCCCCACCAGAAAGCUUCCCCGAGUCCGGGAGCACCAAGGACCCUUGACCCUGCUGCGGGGUCAUCCGCCACAGUGGCAACCCACCUUCUGUGUUCUGCGUGGGGAUGGACGUCUGGAAUGGUUCAGCCAAAAGGAGGAGUAUGAGUCUGGGGGCCGUCCCCUGGGCUGCGCAGCCCUGACCGGGUACAAGCUGCUCACCUCCCAGCGUGAGUACCUCUGCCUUCUGGAUGACCUCUGUCCAAGUUCCCCUGGAGAUCUCGCCCAGGAGGAGCCUCUGAGGGUGCUGGAGGAGCCGGUGAGCUUUGCGCUCUUCCUGGUGCACCCGUUCCGGGCUCACCUCUGCUUCCGCGCCGGCACACGGGGAGCGCAGCGCGCCUGGAGGCUCAACCUGCAGGGUGCCAUCCGGCUGCGAGCCACCGUCCUACAGCGCAGCCGGGCGCCCGCGGCCCGCGCCUUCCUGGACGCCGUGCAGCUCUAUAGACGACGCCGGGGCUUCGCCGGCGGCGAGGACGCUACGCUGGGCUCCGACGCGGAGGUGCUGAGCGCCGAGCUGAUGCGGGAGCUGUUGCCCGGGCUGCGCUCACAGGCGCUGCGGGGUCUGCGCGGUGCGGGGCGCGCCCGGGCCCGGGCCUGCGCGGAGUUCCUCGACGCCGUGCACGCGGCCGUCCUGGCCCGGGCAUCUGCAGGUCUGCGCGCCUUCCAGCCAGAAAAGGACGCGCUGCUGGCGGCGCUAGAGAGGACGGCACGCGCAGAGCUCGAGCACAUCCUCCGGGAGCGGGCUCUACGGGCGCGGAGACUGGAAGCUGAGAUCCAGGACGCCCUGGAGGCGUGCCUGUGCCGCAUGGUGGACCCGCAACUGUCCCAGCUUACCCUCGCGCUGCUGAGCCCCGUGGAAGCCACGCUCGGAGCUGUUCGUACCCUCCUCAUCCGGGGCAUGGACCGGCUGUCUCACCACCUGCGCAAGAACCCUUCAGGCCCUCGGCUGCGCAGGGAGGUUUAUGACUUUGGGGAGAUGCCUUGGGAUCCAGAGCUGAUGCAGACCUGCUAUCGGGAGGCAGAGAGGAACCGCAGCCGCCUGGCCCAGCUGGCAGAACCCUUUGGCUUCCUGGGGAUGCAGAGCCUGGUGUUUGGGGCCCAAGAUCUGGCACAACAGCUCAUGGCGGAUGCAGUCACCACCUUCCUGCAGCUGGCGGACCAGUGUCUAACAUCAGGUCUGGACUGCGGCCAGGCAGCUGAGCAGCUCGAGAAAGUCCGGGGCCUUGUGCUGAAGAAGCUCGCCUCGGACGGUGAGAGCGCUCGGUGGAGGUUCACCCAGGACUGGCUGCUGGGCAUCUUGUGGCCCUUUGUGUGGACCCAGCUUGGGGUGAGCAGCAGCUCGGUGAGCAGACACUUGAGACAUCUGCGGGGGGCGGGGUCUGCUUGAAGCCGCUGGGAGAACGGGACCCCACCUCUGCCCCCAGAAUGGGGGCCUCUUCUGGGGUCCACGGUGCCCCAUGCAUCUUGGCUCAUCCCAAUGCUUUCUGACCACACACACUCCAGAACCCGCCCCGCCCCGCUGCGCAUGUGCGGCUCUGUUUCUGUGGGAGACUCAGCUGUGCAAGGGUCCUGGGGAGGACUGCCCUGUGUGUUCAGGACGGGGAGCACUACCCUGUGUGUUCAGGACGGGGAGCACUGCCCUGUGUGUUCAGGACGGGGAGCACUGCCCUGUGUGUUCAGGACGGGAGCACUGCCCUGUGUGUUCAGGACGGGAGCACUGCCCUGUGUGUUCAGGACGGGAGCACUGCCCUGUGUGUUCAGGACGGGGAGCACUGCCCUGUGUGUUCAGGACGGGGAGCACUGCCCUGUGUGUUCAGGACGGGGAGCACUGCCCUGUGUGUUCAGGACGGGAGCACUGCCCUGUGUGUUCAGGACAGGAGCACUGCCCUGUGUGUUCAGGACGGGGAGCACUGCCCUGUGUGUUCAGGACGGGAGCACUGCCCUGUGUGUUCAGGACGGGAGCACUGCCCUGUGUGUUCAGGACGGGAGCACUGCCCUGUGUGUUCAGGACGGGGAGCACUGCCCUGUGUGUUCAGGACGGGAGCACUGCCCUGUGUGUUCAGGACGGGGAGCACUGCCCUGUGUGUUCAGGACGGGAGCACUGCCCUGUGUGUUCAGGACGGGAGCACUGCCCUGUGUGUUCAGGGUCAGAGAGGUGGUGACUGAAACUGGAGCUGAGGGAAGAAACAGGAGGAAGAGGAACAGCCUGAGGUGGAUGGGGACAUCCCGGCCAUGGGCUGCCAGGUCCUGACCACUGAGGGAGUCUGCAGGGACGUCAUCCGGGGCCUCCUUCUGCAGAGAAUCGAUGGCG